AGUGAACGCUGGCGGUAGGCCUAACACAUGCAAGUCGAACGGCAGCACAGUAAGAGCUUGCUCUUACGGGUGGCGAGUGGCGGACGGGUGAGGAAUACAUCGGAAUCUACUUUUUCGUGGGGGAUAACGUCGGGAAACUUACGCUAAUACCGCAUACGACCUACGGGUGAAAGCAGGGGAUCUUCGGACCUUGCGCGAUUGAAUGAGCCGAUGUCGGAUUAGCUAGUUGGCGGGGUAAAGGCCCACCAAGGCGACGAUCCGUAGCUGGUCUGAGAGGAUGAUCAGCCACACUGGAACUGAGACACGGUCCAGACUCCGACGGGAGGCAGCAGUGGGGAAUAUUGGACAAUGGGCGCAAGCCUGAUCCAGCCAUACCGCGUGGGUGAAGAAGGCCUUCGGGUUGUAAAGCCCUUUUGUUGGGAAAGAAAAGCAGCAGGUUAAUACCCCGCUGUUCUGACGGUACCCAAAGAAUAAGCACCGGCUAACUUCGUG
rnacentral:rRNA from 1 species